rnacentral:rRNA from 1 species
CCCUUAGAUGGUCUGGGCGGCACGCGCGCUACAAUGAUGCAUUCAAAAAGUCUUCUGACCUUAGAAGGUUGGGUAUUCUCCAAAGUGCAUCGUGAUGGGAAUAGUUUAUUGCAAUUUUUAAUCUUGAACGAGGAAUUCCUAGUAAGUACAGGUCAUCAACUUGUGUUGAUUACGUCCCUGCCCUUUGUACACACCGCCCGUCGCUACUACCGAUUGAACGUUUUAGUGAGGCAUUUGGACCGACGCAUCCCAGUUUAACCGCUGGUUUGUGUUGGAAAGACUUCCAAACUUGAGCGUUUAGAGGAAGUAAAAGUCGUAACA